AGACAAUGUGCGCAAGCAGCACUCAAGGCGAGCAGACGGAGGCAGAGAAUCGACUGGACAAAGCUUUUCAAGCCUUCUGGGAUAAGAUGGUAGCUCUUCUGUCCCCAAAAACCCCAGAGAAAGGGCCUGACACCCUGCCGCGCAAUCUCACAAGCAUACCAAACGGAAGACCACGCAGUAACCUCUAACAUCGGACUGCACGGAAAAACUGAGCCAGCGGGAACCCACCAAGGCACAGGGGACCAGAG